AAGAACCCAACACAGCGUCCCCCAAUCACUAGUACUCUAGUAUGGGAGCGCUUAACUGGCGCCCGAGCAGGGACCCACAUUCUUCACGGAAAUAAAGGGAAAUGGUGACGUGUCAAUAAUUCUAUAAAAAUAACUUAUUAAAAAAGCAAGUACAAAUAAAUUGUUCCAAACCAAUUGGGUAAUUGUUGGCAAAAUUACGAAGUACUUCUGCGAUUUGCAAACAAGUGUUGGUGCACUAGAUAAUUCUAUAACAUAAAAGAAAUCGUGGCUAAAUGGUGGUAUUGGCAAUACCUAGGUUCAAAUCCGUGCCGAGACGAGUCUUAAAACGAAAAUACAAGAAAUUUGCAGGCAUAAUGGUGGUACGAGAUUGAUUCUCGUAUCGAGGUUCAAAUCCUUGCCGUAAGACAAAUGUCAUAAAAAAUAAACGUCACAAUUUCCACCUGUGUUGAAUGAUGGGUUUCCGUAUAAAUUAAAAGAAACCUAGUGGUCAAAGUUAAGUUUAAAGCACUAACUAUAUAACAAAAUUAAAAGGCGGUUGUCUGGAAAUCUCUAAUCAACAAGCAAAGCAUAAAUAUGCAAAAAUAAAAACAUGAAUUGCA